rnacentral:piRNA from 1 species
UGGGUGGAUUCUGUCCUGUUUUGU